GACAGAGGGUGCAAACGUUGUUCGGAAUUACUGGGCGUAAAGCGCGUGUAGGCGGCCAUCUAAGUCGGGCGUGAAAUCCCACGGCUCAACCGUGGAAGUGCACUCGAAACUGCGCAGCUAGAGUCCUGGAGAGGAAGGUGGAAUGCUUGGUGUAGAGGUGAAAUUCGUAGAUAUCAAGCGGAACACCGGUGGCGAAGGCGGCCUUCUGGACAGUGACUGACGCUGAGAGUGCGAAAGCGUGGGGAGCAAACAGG
rnacentral:rRNA from 1 species